GCACUUUUUUGUAUCUUCCAAAAUUUGCUAGUUCAUUAGGUCAUUCUUUUUUGUCUGAUUUAGGCAAACAAUUUUUACCAUGUAAACAAUACUUAGUAAUGAAUGUUCCUUUCUUCCCUUUUUUUACAUCAUUAUCAUUAUCACUUAGCACUAAGUUUAACAAUAAAUAUGUCAAUCAACUCUUUAACCUUAAAGUCCAUAACAAAAGUUCUUCAUAUACCAUAGGAGGCUGAACGUUUGGAA
rnacentral:misc_RNA from 1 species